rfam:Lachnobacterium bovis strain S1b genome assembly, contig: IE07DRAFT_scaffold00030.30
GCCGGCAUGUCGGAAUUGGCAGACGAGACAGACUCAAAAUCUGUUACGGGUUUCCGUGUGUGGGUUCAAGUCCCACUGCCGGCA